UGGAUAUGAUGACUGAUUACCUG
rnacentral:piRNA from 1 species